UUGGAGGGCAAGUCUGGUGCCAGCAGCCGCGGUAAUUCCAGCUCCAAUAGCGUAUAUUAAAGUUGUUGCAGUUAAAAAGCUCGUAGUUGAAUUUCGGGAUUGACACAUCGGUCGUGCCCUAAGGGGUAUGAACUGGUGUAGUCAGUUUCUCACCUUCUGGAGAACCGCGAUGUCCUUAAUUGGGUGCCGCGGGGAACCAGGACCUUUACUUUGAAAAAAUUAGAGUGUUUAAAGCAGGCAUUUUGCUUGAAUAUAUUAGCAUGGAAUAAUAAAAUAGGACGGAUGGUUCUAUUUUGUUGGUUUCUAGGAUCACCGUAAUGAUUAAUAGGGAUAGUUGGGGGCAUUAGUAUUCAAUUGUCAGAGGUGAAAUUCUUGGAUUUAUUGAAGACUAACUACUGCGAAAGCAUUUGCCAAGGAUGUUUUCAUUAAUCAAGAACGAAAGUUAGGGGAUCGAAGACGAUCAGAUACCGUCGUAGUCUUAACCAUAAACUAUGCCGACUAGGAAUCAGACGAUGUUAAUUUUUUAAUGACUCGUUCGGCGCCUUACGGGAAAC
rnacentral:rRNA from 1 species